UGUAAUGAACGAAAACGUUGUUGUCGCUGUCGAAGGUUCGACAGUUGCACCUUCUAUGGAAGCUACCUCUACUAUUCAAGAAUCAAUGGACAUUCACCAGGCUGCUGAAGAAGCAAUUUUUGAUCCACUUCCUGAUGUAAUGAACGAAAACGUUGCUGUUGUCAUUGAAGAUUCGACAGUUACAUCACCUUCUAUGGAAGCAAGCUCUACUAAUUUCAAGUCUAAUUUUGUGACAUUUCAGUCACUAGUGACUUUAUCAAUGGUACCAAAGAAUUGGAUAUGGUCUUUUGAUCAAAUCAAACAAAUGAUUUUUCGACUUUCGAUGGAUCAACUACCAAAUGGAAAUUAUAAUGUGAAAAGUGUACAUUUUCAAAACAAACAGGAAGUAAUGUAUUAUGUCAACGGAACGAUCAUUCCAUCAAGCACUACUGCUUUGUCAAACCAUUUCACAACAAUUGAAGAUAUUUCGCAAUUGAUAAAGGAUUUCCACGAUCGAAAAAUUUGUUCUGGCAUUCCUCAAGAAAGGUUCAGAAAUGUUAAUUUUUCAUCUCGUCUUUCUGCUACAUUGGACAAAGCUGGCGUGUUAAGAUCGAAAUAUUGCAAAACCAUUUCAGAAAAGAACAGACUGUGCGUUAAAUGUCUUUUUUGAAGAAAUACCUGUCUAAAAGGUCAAGUAAAAUUGAAGUAAAAAUACCAAUUUCAAAGGAGAAAAACAAGAAAUCUAAGUUAGCUGAGAAACAAAAGAAACUAGAUAACAGUCUGAAACAAGUUAAAGUUCUGAAAGGAAAACAAAUGGUUGCCUGUAAGCUGAUUAAAGAUCUACGCAAAGAAUGCCAAAUCAUGGUUCAAAAAGAAAAAACAAAUGGACUAGAUUAUCAGCUAAAACAUCUUUCAGAAACGG